GAGGAACAGAUAAGGGCGGAGGGACACCAGAGCUCACUGUUUAUCGACGCCUGCUUGACACACACAAGCAACAGUGAUUUUAAAUGUCGUUAAAUUGUUACUGCUGCUACUGUAUAUUCACCAGACCCAUAUUUCUUCUGUCAGAUAAAGAAGGUACAGGACAGGAUUCCGGUUUCUCUAAGUUUACCUGUGCUGCGGUAAAUGGGUGGGUCUGUUUUCUACUUGGGAACAUUGGCGCCUUCAGCUCUCUUUACUCAUCUGUAUAAACCUGGAUAUAUAUAUAAUUGCAUUCCAGUUUUAGUUUUGACUGUUUUCCAACUUUGACGUCAAAAGUUUCAGCAUGUCUGUACCUGCCAUGAGUUCUCUGGAUAAAGAUGGUGGCAUGUCUCGACAACCGGAUGCAUGUGCUGAUGUCACAUGUCAGUUUGGCAGAUGUGUGUUAGUGCAUGAAGAGCCUGCAUGUGAGUGUAUGCUGGGAUAUACUGGGGAAACCUGUCAGGAAACAAUCAAUGAGGCUCUGGCUGUCCCGCUCACCCUUGGUGUCCUGACUGUCAUCGUUGUCUGCAUUGUGCUGUUUUUUGCUGUUGCAAUUUUCCGUCAAAAGAAAAAAGCAAAAAAGAGAAAGAAGGCGGCUGAAGAAGCCUUAAGAAAUGGAGAGCAUCUUUAAAAUGUCUUAAUGCAACAUGUCAGUGAAAAGUACAGUCAACACAUCACUUACACGUCACAUGAAAGAACAUUCCAGCAUGACAUUUAGUUUUCUAUUCAUUGCGCAUGAAUUCAAGCUGUGAUGUUGUUAGAAGAAUAGGAGUGUCACUGAAUGUACUCCAUGUUUAAACAAACUAUUUUAAAGGGCACCUAUUUUACCCCUUCAAGAUUUACGAUAAGUCUUUUGUGUUCUCAGAAUGUGUCUAUAAAGUUUCUGCUCAAAAUACUCAUCAUAUUAUUUAUUAUACCUUUCUGAACAUGGAAAUUUUCAGCUCUAAACACACGGUGGCUGUUUUUGUUGUAUGUGCCUUCAAUGCAAGUGAGCUGCUCUCCCUGCCCACCAUUCCCACGUGCGUGUCAGAGCCACAAAGAUUUCUCUGUAUUGCUCUGAUACAUGUAGCCUUUACAUAGAUAAACGGCACAGAGACGGACAAGAAUGAAGCAGAUCUCCCUUACUACAGUAAGAACUUUCCAGAUGGAAAUUUGAUGCAGUUGUUGUGGAGUUAAUUCAAGCCUUUUUGCAAUGAGUCACACACAAUGUUGUUACAAAGUUUGCGUCACACACAAACACACAUGCGCAUGUGACAGGAUCCAUAUUAAUAUCCACUGCUGCAUAUUCGUUAUGUUAAUGUACAAAAUAAAUCUGAUUUAAGUCCUCUUA